UACGAAGGGGGCUAGCGUUGCUCGGAUUGACUGGGCGUAAAGGGCGCGUAGGCGGUUCGUACAGUCAGACGUGAAAUUCCUGGGCUCAACCUGGGGGCUGCGUUUGAUACGUGCGGACUUGAGUGCGGAAGAGGGUCGUGGAAUUCCCAGUGUAGAGGUGAAAUUCGUAGAUAUUGGGAAGAACACCGGUGGCGAAGGCGGGUCUCUGGGCCGCAACUGACGCUGAGGAGCGAAAGCAUGGGGAGCGAACAGG
rnacentral:rRNA from 1 species